AUUAGGUUUUGUUACUCUCUUUCUAUCUACCUCAAUCUUUUUCCUCUUUCUCCAACUCACGGGCGAUUUGAAAUCUGCGCCAGCUUCCAUCUUCAUCCAUCUUUCUAGGGGUUACCGGCGAUUAGUUUGGUGGUGGUGGAAACGGGUUUCCGGCGAUGAGUGUGGUGGUGGUCGGAUUCAUAUUAUCAUCUUUCUAACAAAAAUAUGAAUAAGGUUUCACCAUUUGCUAUUAUGUUUUAACAUUCAGAUUUGUGGUGGCAACAACGGGUUACCGGCGAUUAGUUUGGUGGUGGUGAAAACGGGUUUCCGACGACGAGUGUGGUUGUGAACGAUUUUGGAUGAACGGGUUAAUUUGUUGAAGAUCUAUGAAGAUGAUGACGAAAGAUGCGAUUCUGAAUCUCGGAUCCGACCCUUCCAUGGGAUUAGGGUUUCAGAGAUCUCGGUCGCAAGUUCUUUUUCAAUAUGGAACUUUUUGUGGUGGUUAUGCGGAAUGGUUAGCAGAAUUUUGUGGGAAGUGGCGGUUCGAGUCGGUGAUGUAACCUGUUAUAACAAGGUGAAGGUUUGAUUAAUGAUUUGAAUAAAAACAUAGUGUUCGAUAUUGAAGGAAACAAAGGAAGAAGGAGGCCAAAGGGAGUUGACUCUGUACAGUGUCUGAACUGGCUCUGUUUUUAUGGGAACCAAUUUGUUAUUCGUUUCGGUUGAGCUUUAUGCAGGGCUGCAGUUCUGAUAUGGUUUGUUUUUUUCAUGUACGAAUAUGCAUGGUAAGUGGUUGAAUGGUAUUUUGGCUUGAGUGUGGUUUAGUUGCUUGAGUAUGGUUGUUGCUGUUUUGUAUUUUCUGGUUUUUGCUACAGGUUUGGAGUGUUUUCUACGGCUGAUUAUUAAAAUUUUAAAUUCUACAUCCUUUUGUCUCUUUUCACCAGACAAAUUACUAAAUGCAACAUUAUUCGUGUCUUUUAUCUUUUGAUCAGGUGGCCGCUGCCAAGAUAGAUCUAAACUACAUUGGGUUAGAUGGAGAAAUUGGUUGCAUGCUGAAUGGAGCAGAGUUAGCAAUGGCCA